CUCUCGGUAGCCAAGUUGGUUUAAGGCGCAAGACUGCCAAUUUACCACUACGAAAUCUUGAGAUCGGGCGUUCGACCUCGCCCCCGGGAGA
rnacentral:tRNA from 1 species